GUGGGGAAUAUUGCACAAUGGGCGAAAGCCUGAUGCAGCAACGCCGCGUGAGGGACGACGGCCUUCGGGUUGUAAACCUCUUUUAGUAGGGAAGAAGCGAAAGUGACGGUACCUGCAGAAAAAGCACCGGCUAACUACGUGCCAGCAGCCGCGGUAAUACGUAGGGUGCAAGCGUUAUCCGGAAUUAUUGGGCGUAAAGAGCUCGUAGGCGGUCUGUCGCGUCUGCUGUGAAAACUGGAGGCUCAACCUCCAGCCUGCAGUGGGUACGGGCAGACUAGAGGGCGGUAGGGGAGAUUGGAAUUCCUGGUGUAGCGGUGGAAUGCGCAGAUAUCAGGAGGAACACCGAUGGCGAAGGCAGAUCUCUGGGCCGUAACUGACGCUGAGGAGCGAAAGCGUGGGGAGCGAACAGGAUUAGAUACCCCGGUAGUCC
rnacentral:rRNA from 1 species